AAUUCAGAACAUUUUUCAUUAAGUAAUUUAUAUGACUCAUUGAUCUUUCUUUCAUGGGCUUUGUAUAUUCUUCAUACCAUUCCUAAAAUACAAAACUCUAAAAAUGAUUUAAGCAAAAUAACUACGCCAAGUAUUAUUUUAACGCAAGGCUUUGCCACGGGGGUUUUAACUGAAAUGCACCAAUCCACGAUACUAGUACCUGCUCUACAAUCUCAGUGGUUAAUGAUGCAUGUCUGUAUGAUGUUAUUAAGCUACACAACUCUUUUAUGUGGAUCCUUAUUAUCUGCCGCUAUUCUAAUCAUUAGUUUUCACAAUAAUUUCCAUUUCUUUUCUAAUAAUAAUAAAUGCUCUAAAUAA
rnacentral:rRNA from 1 species